rnacentral:rRNA from 1 species
GACGAACGCUGGCGGCGUGCUUAACACAUGCAAGUCGAACGGAAAGGCCUGCUUUCCCUUGUGGAUUGCGGGUACUCGAGUGGCGAACGGGUGAGUAACACGUGAGUGAUCUGCCCCCAACUUGGGUAUAAGCCUGGGAAACUGGGCCUAAUUCCCGAUAGGACUGCAGGGUGGUGCCUGUGGUGGAAAACGUGUUUUUAGUGGUUGGGGAUGAGCUCGCGGCGUAUCAGCUUGUUGGUGGGGCAAUGGCCUACCAAGGCGGGGACGCGGAGCCGAACGGGGAGGGUGGUCGGACACACGGGAACGGAGACACGGUCAAGACGCCGACGGGAGGCAGGAGUAGGGAAUCUUCGGCAAUGGGCGAAAGCCUGGGGGAGCAACGCCGCGGGAGUGAUGAAGGUCUUCGGAUCGUAAAACUCUGUUAUUAGGGAAGAACAAAUGUGUAAGUAACUAUGCACGUCUUGACGGUACCUAAUGAGAAAGCCACGGCUAACUACGUG